rnacentral:rRNA from 1 species
UGGGGGAAUAUUGCGCAAUGGGCGAAAGCCUGACGCAGCCACGCCGCGUGAGCGAUGAAGGUCUUCGGAUCGUAAAGCUCUGUGGGGAGAGACGAAGAAAGCCCGUGAAGAGCGGGCCUUGACGGUAUCUCCUUAGCAAGCACCGGCUAACUCCGUGCCAGCAGCCGCGGUAAUACGGAGGGUGCAAACGUUGCUCGGAAUCAUUGGGCGUAAAGCGCACGUAGGCGGCGGCAUAAGCGGGAUGUGAAAGCCCAGGGCUCAACCCUGGAAGUGCAUCCCGAACUGUGUCGCUUGAAUCUCGGAGGGGGACAGAGAAUUCCCGGUGUAGAGGUGAAAUUCGUAGAUAUCGGGAGGAAUACCAGUGGCGAAGGCGCUGUCCUGGACGAAGAUUGACGCUGAGGUGCGAAAGCGCGGGAAGCAAACAGGAUUAGAUACCCUGGUAGUCCGCGCUGUAAACGAUGAGUGCUGGACGGUGGAGGAUUUGACCCUUCG